rnacentral:rRNA from 1 species
GCCCCGGUAAACGGCGGCCGUAACUAUAACGGUCCUAAGGUAGCGAAAUUCCUUGUCGGGUAAGUUCCGACCUGCACGAAUGGCGUAAUGAUGGCCAGGCUGUCUCCACCCGAGACUCAGUGAAAUUGAACUCGCUGUGAAGAUGCAGUGUACCCGCGGCAAGACGGAAAGACCCCGUGAACCUUUACUAUAGCUUGACACUGAACAUUGAGCCUUGAUGUGUAGGAUAGGUGGGAGGCUUUGAAGUGUGGACGCCAGUCUGCAUGGAGCCGACCUUGAAAUACCACCCUUUAAUGUUUGAUGUUCUAACGUUGGCCCGUAAUCCGGGUUGCGGACAGUGUCUGGUGGGUAGUUUGACUGGGGCGGUCUCCUCCUAAAGAGUAACGGAGGAGCACGAAGGUUGGCUAAUCCUGGUCGGACAUCAGGAGGUUAGUGCAAUGGCAUAAGCCAGCUUGACUGCGAGCGUGACGGCGCGAGCAGGUGCGAAAGCAGGUCAUAGUGAUCCGGUGGUUCUGAAUGGAAGGGCCAUCGCUCAACGGAUAAAAGGUACUCCGGGGAUAACAGGCUGAUACCGCCCAAGAGUUCAUAUCGACGGCGGUGUUUGGCACCUCGAUGUCGGCUCAUCACAUCCUGGGGCUGAAGUAGGUCCCAAGGGUAUGGCUGUUCGCCAUUUAAAGUGGUACGCGAGCUGGGUUUAGAACGUCGUGAGACAGUUCGGUCCCUAUCUGCCGUGGGCGCUGGAGAACUGAGGGGGGCUGCUCCUAGUACGAGAGGACCGGAGUGGACGCAUCACUGGUGUUCGGGUUGUCAUGCCAAUGGCACUGCCCGGUAGCUAAAUGCGGAAGAGAUAAGUGCUGAAAGCAUCUAAGCACGAAACUUGCCCCGAGAUGAGUUCUCCCUGACUCCUUGAGGGUC